rnacentral:rRNA from 1 species
AUGCCUUGUUACUACGAUGUCGAUGACAUCCUCAUGGAGGAGGAGCUUAUUUCGGUUGUUUUCCAAGUAACUGCAAAUGGUGUUGGUAUGCUAGAUCCUGGCGCCGAGAGAAACAGUGUUGAGAAGGGUGCUAAGGUAGACCUUCCAUUUUGGCUUGCUCAUGGGAUGCUGUCUCUGGAACAAGCGGUGUCGAUAAAUGUACCUCCUUGCUUCACCCAGAAAACUCGGAAGGAGAUCCAAGCUGAUGCAGCCUGUGUUGAUUUGAGGGUUCGGUGCCCUUACUUUUAUGAGCUAGGAUGCAAGAUUGUUCCUCUGGUGGGUGACAAGAGCAUCGGCCAGUUCUUGCGCUACGCGUUCACCAGUAGGUACAAGGAGGUACUAAGCAAGGCACACAGCUCUUCGACGAUGACAGUGCCCAAGUUCGCAACACGCCUUACAAAAGAAGAGGCUCAAGUGUUUGAAUCUGCUAGGGAAUCGAUGUCCGCCUUCAGGAAGUGGCGCGUCGGGGGUGCGAGGCUGCAGAAGGCGUCCAUUCUUGGAAGGAAGAGGAAGACAAAGGUGCCCGACGAUCCUUCGACGCCCUGA